rnacentral:rRNA from 1 species
CUAAAUUCAUAGGCACAUAAGGCGAACCUGGAGAACUGAAACAUCUAAGUACCCAGAGGAAAAAAAAAUCAACCGAGAUUCCGUUAGUAGCGGCGAGCGAAAGCGGAACAGCCCAGUUACUAAAUCGUUAUUGGCUUUAGCAGAAUGUUCUGGAAAGUUCAGCCGUAGUAGGUGAUAGCCCCGUAUGUAAAAAGGCUAAUAAUGUGAGUAACAAUGAGUAAGUCGGGACACGUGAAAUCUUGACUGAAUAUGGGGGGACCAUCCUCCAAGGCUAAAUACUCCUUACUGACCGAUAGCGAACUAGUACCGUAAGGGAAAGGUAAAAAGAACCCCGACAAGGGGAGUGAAAUAGAACCUGAAACCGUAUGCGUACAAGCAGUCAAAGCAUUUUUUCGAAAAUGUAAUGGCGUACCUUUUGUAUAAUGGGUCAGCGACUUACUUGUUGUAGCAAGCUUAACCGUAUAGGGGAGGCGUAAGGAAACUGAGUCUGAAAUAGGCGUUUAGUUGCAACGAGUAGACCCGAAACCGGGCGAUCUAUCUAUGGCCAGGGUGAAGGUCAAGUAACACUGACUGGAGGCCCGAACUCACUACUGUUGAAAAAGUAGGGGAUGAGUUGUAGAUAGGAGUGAAAGACUAAUCAAGCUCGGAAAUAGCUGGUUCUCCUCGAAAGCUAUUUAGGUAGCGCCUCGUGUAUGACUCUUGGGGGUAGAGCACUGUUUCGGCUAAAAGGCCUCUCAGCCUGCUAAACCGAGGCAAACUCCGAAUACCAAGAAGUUUUAGCACGGGAGACACACUGCGGGUGAUAAGGUCCGUGGUGAAAAGGGAAACAGCCCAGACCGCCAGCUAAGGUCCCAAAAUUACAGUUAAGUGAAAAACGAUGUAGGAAGUCUCAGACAGCCAGGAGGUUGGCUUAGAAGCAGCCAUCCUUUAAAGAAAGCGUAAUAGCUCACUGGUCAAGUCGUCCUGCGCGAAAGAUUUAACGGGGCUUAAACUGUAUACCGAAGCUGCGGAGCUCUUUUUAGAGCUGGUAGAGGAGCGUUCUGUAAACCUGUGAAGGUAAAUCGAAAGGUUUACUGGAGGUAUCAGAAGUGCAAAUGCUGACAUAAGUAACGAUAAUGUAGGUGAAAAACCUACACGCCGAAAGUCCAAGGUUUCCUGCGCAACGCUAAUCGGCGCAGGGUGAGUCGGCCCCUAAGGUAAAGCAGAAAUGCGUAGUCGAUGGGAAACAGGUUAAUAUUCCUGUACUUUACAAUACUGCGAUGGGAGGACGAAGAAGGCUAGGUCAGCCACUUAAUGGUUGUAGUGGUUUAAGUGUGUAGGAAAAGUUCUUUGGCAAAUCCGGGAACUUAAUUCUGAGAUAUAAUGACAAAGCAUGACUUGUUCAUGCGAAGUGACUAAUGCCACGCUUCCAGGAAAAGUCUCUAAGCUUCAGGUGUUGUAAAACCGUACCUAAACCGACACAGGUAGACAAGUAGAGAAUACUAAGGCGUUUGAGAGAACUUGGGUGAAGGAACUAGGCAAAAUGACACCGUAACUUCGGGAGAAGGUGUGCCUUUAAUAAGUGAAAGUCUUCACGACUAAAGCUGAAAAAGGUUGCAAAUACCAGGUGGCUGCGACUGUUUACUAAAAACACAGCACUCUGCAAACUCGUAAGAGGACGUAUAGGGUGUGACGCCUGCCCGGUGCCGGAAGGUUAAAUGAUGGAGUUAGUUUUCGAGCAAAGCUUCAGAUUGAAGCCCCGGUAAACGGCGGCCGUAACUAUAACGGUCCUAAGGUAGCGAAAUUCCUUGUCGGGUAAGUUCCGACCUGCACGAAUGGCGUAACGAUGGCCACGCUGUCUCCACCCAAGGCUCAGUGAAAUUGAAAUCGCUGUGAAGAUGCAGCGUACCCGCGGCUAGACGGAAAGACCCCGUGAACCUUUACUACAGCUUUACACUGAAUUUUGAAUAUGCCUGUGUAGAAUAGGUGGGAGGCUUUGAAGCUGAACGCUAGUUCUAGUGGAGCCAUUCUUGAAAUACCACCCUGGUGUGUUUAAAGUUCUAACCUUGACCCGUUAUCCGGGUUGGAGACAGUGUAUGGUAGGUAGUUUGACUGGGGCGGUCUCCUCCAAAAAAGUAACGGAGGAGUACAAAGGUACCCUCAGCACGGUCGGAAAUCGUGCAUUGUGUGCAAAGGCAUAAGGGUGCUUAACUGCGAGACCGACAAGUCGAGCAGAUACGAAAGUAGGUCUUAGUGAUCCGGUGGUCCCUUAUGGAAGGGCCAUCGCUCAACGGAUAAAAGGUACUCCGGGGAUAACAGGCUAAUACCACCCAAGAGUUCAUAUCGACGGUGGUGUUUGGCACCUCGAUGUCGGCUCAUCACAUCCUGGGGCUGUAGCCGGUCCCAAGGGUAUGGCUGUUCGCCAUUUAAAGUGGUACGUGAGCUGGGUUUAGAACGUCGUGAGACAGUUCGGUCCCUAUCUGCCGUGGGCGUUGGAGAUUUGAGAGGAGCUGCUCCUAGUACGAGAGGACCGGAGUGGACGUACCUCUGGUGUUCCGGUUGUCACGCCAGUGGCACGGCCGGGUAGCUAAGUACGGACAGGAUAAUCGCUGAAAGCAUCUAAGCAAGAAGCCUCCCUCAAGAUGAGAUCUCCCCGGACCCUAGAGGUCCCUAAAGAUUCGUUGAAGACUACAACGUUGAUAGGCAGGAUGUGGAAGCUCAGUAAUGAGUGAAGCUAACCUGUACUAAUUAAUCGUGAGACUUGACUAU